CUGAGAUCUUAAGAUUUUCCAGAGUUUGGUGCUCAUCGCUAAGUUCCCAAGUCUCACCAUAUUUUCACUUUUCAGUGGUCUUAGAGACCCUAGAAUUACUCUGAGCUAGAGUCCAGAGGUUCUCAGAGACCAAGGAUUUCCACGCAUUUGGGGGCACACAGAAAAAGUGAGAGGUCAGAGGAUCCUGCAUAUUUUUGAGCCAGUUACCAAGAAGGGAUUUGGGACAGAUUGGUGGCUAUGAGAUGGCGACUAAGCUCUGCUCCCUGUGUCCUCCCAUUCCAGAAUCCAGAGUAAAAGAUAAUUCACUAUUUGGGACACACUGUUUUCAGGACAGAGGAAAAAGAGCAAGAGAGCUGCUGACAGAAACUCCAGAUGCUCCUUAAAGCUUCUGCUCAGUCAUGGCACACACCAUGUCCACUCACAUUCAUUACCCAAAGCCCUUCCAUGGUCAACCUCAGAAUCAAGUGGGCAGGGACUCACCCCCCAUCCCCCACAGAAGCUACUGAAAGACACACAGCAACAGGCAGGAAUUGAUAAUCUUCUCAUAUAGAAGGGGGAAUCAAUUAUUUCAGAACAAUAAUACAACUUACCAUUCCUUUAGACUCCACCCAUGUAACUUAUAUCCAGUAUAGGAAUUUUCUCCCCAUGUCAACUAAAAAGAAAUGUGAUAUGAUUUUUUUUUUUGCCCUCUUAGGAUUGUUAUUAAGCCCUGUGCAACAUUUGCCAAAUCAUUCUUCAGAAUAUUACUGUGCCCUGAGAUAUUAACAGUCGUUAAGCAACUAAAAAGGAUUCCCUGGUCAGAUAAGUUUGGAAAAUGUUCUAUGUUAAUAGCCCUCUCGUAAUACUCACAAUUCUGUAUUAUCAGAUUAAAUGCUCUCGACGAUGCCUGCUGUAGAGAUAGCUACUUAACCCAAGAUUGGGAUCAUAGAUUUAUUUCCAGAAUGGCAGAAUCAUUAAUAUCUCAUGAGAUUCCAGUGACUAACAUUGCCCUAAAGGAUUACAGGAGAACCACCCGGAUGGAUUCUUGUUGCUUCUUCAUUUCUGUGCAUCCAGACUGAAGGACACUGAAUGAUGUUAAGAGGAGGUAUGCAUGAAGCCAACACAUCUGUACAGGACUCCUAAAGAAGGCUUGUGUUUUUGGCUAAGAUCAAACUCUGUGUGAGAAACCUGAAAAUGCUAAUAUGGAUACUACUCUUUGCCUACUGAAUUAAGUAUAAACACAUUACACUGGC